rnacentral:lncRNA from 1 species
AUUACUGCAGGGUUGAGAAAGUACAGCCAGUUUUUCCUGACUUCUAAGCCCAUGCCAUUCUCAAAGCUCAAGGGCACGUGUGUGGCCGAGGUGACAACAGAUGGAGACGGACUCAGAGAGGGAGCCAUCUUCAAGUCUACGCCGAAGCCAUUACCUCAGCUGCCACAGAGAUGACAAUGACAUUUUCAGUCACCGCGUAACUCAGCUAUAAACUGGAGCUGUUUGACAUGAAAGGCAUCCAUUUCGUUUUAUUUUGCUGUGGUGCAUGAGUUCACUACAUGUGUUUUCUUUGAGAAUUAAGAAGACAGUUUGGUCUAUAGCUAAACAAUUACUCAGAGGCCACACUCAAGUGUAAAACAUGCCACUGUCAGGCCCUGCAUGCAUGAGGCCCAUCUAGAGAGACUCACUGGGUAGCCAUGUUGUUAUACAGUAUGAUAUGUUUAUGUGGAAUAAGUUGCAGUGACUUUAUUCCAGAGGCCCUCUUGAGGCCCUUUGCUCCACUAGAAGUUAAAUGUAAUAAGUCAAGUCUUUAUUCCGAGUCUAGGGGCCUUCUUUUUACACUGUAAAACAAGCUGGGAUCAAUAAUUAGUAUAGUAAGCAUAACUAGGCAACAAAUCCAAUCAAAUUUGAUUUGUCACAUACGCCGAAUACAACAGGUUACAGUGAAAUGCUUACUUACAAGCCCUUUAGCCCAAUAGUUAGUAUAGUUAGUAUACUGAGGCCCACAGUAACCUAUUAAAACCAGAUGGCGAUAUACAAGGCACAGCUUACCUUGUGACACACUGUCUAAGAAACGGUUAGUUUAGAUAAUACCUCAUUUAGCCUAUGUUGCUGUGAAUAAAUAAAUACAGACGCACAUAUAAAUGCUGAAGUGACUGUUGUGAAGAGUGGCUAGAAAUAGCAUGCAGUGGCUCCAAACACUGUUCCCCUGGGAAUGUAUUUCUUCUUCACUGAAUUUAUUUGCUUUAUGGUCAAAUCGGCCACCUCCGUAUCUGGCGAAGUCAAUGUUACACCAGGGAGUGGUUGGCUAUGAGUGGAUUAAGACUUUUCCAUUGACCAGCGGUUUACAGAGGUUAUAAUCUUGGGUCCCAUUGAGUGAUUUCCCGUUAAGCCCAGGAAAGCUGUCAAAUGUUACUUACUGGAAUCCAGUGGAAUUUGUAGCUAGCGCUGAGUCGUUGGCAGUGAUGAACAUGGACACAAAGCUCACAGGAAGUGGCAAAUAGGACUGUCUGUGGACAGUGAGGUUCUCUUUUAUAUAGUAGAGAACAGAACAGAACAAUAAACUGGUAUUUACUGAAACAUGGCUGUAAUGGCUCCCGAACGUACACAAAUCUGGCGCCGAGUGUUGUUGGACAGAUGAAUCAUUUCAGAACCAAGUGAUUUAAUCAUUUGAGGGAUAUAUUGAAGCUAGCGGGUGGUUGGUC